GAUAAACGCUGGCGGCGUGCCUAAUACAUGCAAGUCGAGCGAACGGACGAGAAGCUUGCUUCUCUGAUGUUAGCGGCGGACGGGUGAGUAACACGUGGAUAACCUACCUAUAAGACUGGGAUAACUUCGGGAAACCGGAGCUAAUACCGGAUAAUAUUUUGAACCGCAUGGUUCAAAAGUGAAAGACGGUCUUGCUGUCACUUAUAGAUGGAUCCGCGCUGCAUUAGCUAGUUGGUAAGGUAACGGCUUACCAAGGCAACGAUGCAUAGCCGACCUGAGAGGGUGAUCGGCCACACUGGAACUGAGACACGGUCCAGACUCCUACGGGAGGCAGCAGUAGGGAAUCUUCCGCAAUGGGCGAAAGCCUGACGGAGCAACGCCGCGCGAGUGAUGAAGGUCUUCGGAUCGUAAAACUCUGUUAUUAGGGAAGAACAUAUGUGUAAGUAACUGUGCACAUCUUGACGGUACCUAAUCAGAAAGCCACGGCUAACUACGUGCCAGCAGCCGCGGUAAUACGUAGGUGGCAAGCGUUAUCCGGAAUUAUUGGGCGUAAAGCGCGCGUAGGCGGUUUUUUAAGUCUGAUGUGAAAGCCCACGGCUCAACCGUGGAGGGUCAUUGGAAACUGGAAAACUUGAGUGCAGAAGAGGAAAGUGGAAUUCCACGUGUAGCGGUGAAAUGCGCAGAGAUAUGGAGGAACACCAGUGGCGAAGGCGACUUUCUGGUCUGUAACUGACGCUGAUGUGCGAAAGCGUGGGGAUCAAACAGGAUUAGAUACCCUGGUAGUCCACGCCGUAAACGAUGAGUGCUAAGUGUUAGGGGGUUUCCGCCCCUUAGUGCUGCAGCUAACGCAUUAAGCACUCCGCCUGGGGAGUACGACCGCAAGGUUGAAACUCAAAGGAAUUGACGGGGACCCGCACAAGCGGUGGAGCAUGUGGUUUAAUUCGAAGCAACGCGAAGAACCUUACCAAAUCUUGACAUCCUUUGACAACUCUAGAGAUAGAGCCUUCCCCUUCGGGGGACAAAGUGACAGGUGGUGCAUGGUUGUCGUCAGCUCGUGUCGUGAGAUGUUGGGUUAAGUCCCGCAACGAGCGCAACCCUUAAGCUUAGUUGCCAUCAUUAAGUUGGGCACUCUAAGUUGACUGCCGGUGACAAACCGGAGGAAGGUGGGGAUGACGUCAAAUCAUCAUGCCCCUUAUGAUUUGGGCUACACACGUGCUGCAAUGGACAAUACAAAGGGCAGCGAAACCGCGAGGUCAAGCAAAUCCCAUAAAGUUGUUCUCAGUUCGGAUUGUAGUCUGCAACUCGACUACAUGAAGCUGGAAUCGCUAGUAAUCGUAGAUCAGCAUGCUACGGUGAAUACGUUCCCGGGUCU
rnacentral:rRNA from 1 species